rnacentral:lncRNA from 1 species
GACUGCAUUUCUCUUUUGGUUUCACUUUUUGGCUUGCAACAGAGACAGCUGCCACGCUAGCUAGGUCCCUCUGUAAGUAAGGCUUUUCCCUAUUAAAUACCCUUGUAUUUCUACCUGACUCCAUAUUGGUAAUUUCCCACUAUACAUUAUAUCCUUCCUUCUUUUUCAUUCCCUUUUAAAAGAAUAGGUCAUGUGAAAAACAGAGGGUUUUAAAAGACAGUGAGAUGAACUGGAUUACCCAGUACAUAUCAAUAAAAUUAAUAAUUAUACAUACAUAUGAAAAUCAUAUAGUUAUUCUAUACAUAUGUACACUAAAAAUCAUAGGAGAAUAUAGGGAAGGAAAGGCAUAUGCUUCAUCAGAAAGAAUAUCCAGUGAGCACUUAAUAUAGCAAAUCAGCUCCACAAUUCAAGAAAUUGAACAGUAUCAUUCAUUCCUUCAUAUCCUCUAGACUAUCUGAAAUGAGAGAAAAAGAAGCAAUGAAUGUGUGUGUUAAAGCAAUCAGCUCUCCAUAAGGAAAAUAAAGUAUUUAAGAUAAGAGAGAGAGGGGGGUUACACUUAAGGCAAAGUAAAUUUCCCCUACAAAGGGAGACUCAUUAAACUAUGAAAGUUGUCAUAUCUUUCAUUGCAGGUUCUAGCAAUUUAUCUACAUAUGUAACAACAAUCAGUAAUACAUUUAACUACAGUGGCAAUGGAACUCAUUUCGCAUGGGUGAUACUGACAGAUGAUGCCAAGAAAGACUUUGGGCUUCAAAAUACAAACUUCCAGGAUCUAGGUUAUUUGCACAAACCCAGCUAUCUGAAAAUAACUCACCACAGUUAAAAUAUCAGCAGCCAAGAAUUACACAGAGCAUAUUUUUCAAACAAUACUUUAUAAGGACUAACUUUAAACAAUAAGAAUUGUAUCUGGACUAUUUUUCUGUUUGUACUACAUUGUAACUAGCUGAUGGAGUUGAAAACAAAGAUUAUUGUAUCUUUGUGUCUUUCUCAUGCAGUCUAUUGUUUGUCAAAUAAAUAUAAACAUGGUUUUAUUAAUAUUGUUGAA